AUGCUAGCAUCCUCGCGGCCGAGCAGCUUGACCGGAGUUCCCGUCCUGGGCGUCACCACCUGCGACGCCGCGAGCUCGUCCUGCCCGACUAUCCUCCCGGGCCACCAGGACCCGUUCCGCCGCCGCACCCAGACGAUGGUCCCCGGCGAGCAGUCUGCGAUUCCGCCGCCAUCCGCCUCCCCUUGCCCCUCCCCUCCUCCUCCCUCUCCCCCCGAGCUCCGCCCCAUGGCGACCAGGCCAACACCAAACCUAACCGAAUCCUCAGGGGCGGAUCUACAGGGCGUGCGGCACGCUGGUGGGAUUAACUUAGCCGCUGGCCGAAACCAACUCGCGCGGGAUUGGGACGUCGGCGGUCGGCGGUCGGCGGUGAAGGGCCGGCCGGCGGUGAAGCUAGGGCACGGUCAAGGCGGUCUUUUUUCUUUUUUUUUUCCUUGA
rnacentral:rRNA from 1 species